UGAGGCCCUCUGCAGCCGGACAAGGGGACAAGGCAGCGAUCCAGGGCCCUGCUUCCUGGUGUAGCUAGCCUGCCUCUUCCAGCCCAGUUCCCAACAUACUAAUACAAUGGACAAGUUUUGUGUGGUUGAUAUAGGGAACUUUCUUUUGGGAGUGGGAGAGAUCUGUGCGUGUUCAGAAUAGACACGUUCGUUGUUUUGUUGUUUUUUUUUUUUUCCAGAAUAUUUUCAACCUCGGUCGUUUGAUUCCACUCUCACUCCAGGAAUGAGAGGCAGUAGUGUAUAAGAGCUCAGAGCCGAGAGUCUGGAGCUAGGUGACCUAGUAGUGCAGUGCCCGAGGAGUCCAGAAGAAGACAUUGGAUCGUUUGACCCUGAAGUUACAGAUGCUAGGAAGCUGGGAAUCAAAGCCUGCCCCUCUGAAAGAUUAUUGAGUCUCAGCUGUGGAGCAAUAUCUUCAGCCUCUCUGGAGUGAGAAAGGUCAACCAUGGAAAGUAACCCUUUACCAGGAGAAGUUUAUAGGUGAAGAAUCCAGCAGCACCUUCAUGAAAGAAUUGCUGGCAGCAAUGCAGACUCCUGAGCCCUAGGAAUUCGAAUUCGGCUGCUACAGCACGGAGCAGAAGAUCCUCUUCAAGGGCUUCAGGCCCAGCUGUGCCUGGGCACUAUCUUGAAACAUCCUCAGCACAUCCUGUUCAAAAUCACGCAGCGGUAUUGCAAAGGCAUCAUCAGGACUAUGGGGCAAGCAGCAAUCCAGUGUGCUAGGAUGCAGAAAACCUAGAGUUCAGUGCCUCUUCUACCACCGAUGGGCUAUGUGCCCUCGCAGGCCACCUGCUCUCUCCUCGGCCUCUACUGCUGCCUUACGAGGAAGGAAGGUCUGGAAAACAUAGGCUUUCCCGAGUUCAAAUGUAUCAGAGCUUCAAAGACUGCUGUAUUU
rnacentral:lncRNA from 1 species